CAGAAUUACCCAUGUUUCGUUACCCACGUUCUCUAGAAUAAUGUAAAACUAAAAGAACAUGUCAGGUGGUAUCACAUUCAGGGCCAGUUAGCCAAUGUAAUCUUUACAUGAUCUGGUUGUAUAUGUAAUUUACAAACGAAAGUAGAACUUACAAUGCGUCGCAGGUGGAGACGGGUCAUUCUGUGUUUUCAACCGUUCCAUAUGCUCCA